rnacentral:lncRNA from 1 species
CAGAUUUGAGGUUCUUGAUACAGAAAUAGUAAUUUAGCUCAGAUUUACCAGAAUACAGUGGAUUAUCAGAAUUUAUCAGAGAUAGUUAUUUUAGAACCUCCGUGUACCCAUUAUCUUUGGUGAUUACCCACAGUCGGACCGAUGUCUACGGACAUCCAGUAUGAUUUCAGUUACGUCAGUGCACUUGACUUUGCCUCACGAGUUUCGGGGACGCUCGGACCGUGAGUGCCAGGAUUUGCGGCUAGGCAGACUUGGUGUCCCGAGACCUGCCAGGAUUGCGGCUCGGCUGACUCUGUGUCCCCGAGACCUGCCAGGAUUGCGGAUCAGGCUGACUACGGUCUCCUGCAUCCUGCCAGAGCGGCUCGAGUCGACUUGGUGUCAUCGAGACCUGCCGACGAAUCAGGCUGAUCAUAGUCCCCUGAUUUUGCCAAUUUGCGGCUCGGGUAGCCUGCGUGACGCCCGAGACCUGCCAG